rnacentral:rRNA from 1 species
GACGAACGCUGGCGGCGUGCCUAAUACAUGCAAGUCGAACGCUUUUUCUUUCACCGGAGCUUGCUCCACCGAAAGAAAAAGAGUGGCGAACGGGUGAGUAACACGUGGGUAACCUGCCCAUCAGAAGGGGAUAACACUUGGAAACAGGUGCUAAUACCGUAUAACACUAUUUUCCGCAUGGAAGAAAGCUGAAAGGCGCUUUUGCGUCACUGAUGGAUGGACCCGCGGUGCAUUAGCUAGUUGGUGAGGUAACGGCUCACCAAGGCAACGAUGCAUAGCCGACCUGAGAGGGUGAUCGGCCACACUGGGACUGAGACACGGCCCAGACUCCUACGGGAGGCAGCAGUAGGGAAUCUUCGGCAAUGGACGAAAGUCUGACCGAGCAACGCCGCGUGAGUGAAGAAGGUUUUCGGAUCGUAAAACUCUGUUGUUAGAGAAGAACAAGGAUGAGAGUAAAAUGUUCAUCCCUUGACGGUAUCUAACCAGAAAGCCACGGCUAACUACGUGCCAGCCGCCGCGGUAA